rnacentral:tRNA from 1 species
GCCCAGAUGGUGAAAUUGGUAGACACAAGGGACUUAAAAUCCCUCGAAGGAGACUUCGUGCCGGUUCGAGUCCGGCCCUGGGCACCA